rnacentral:rRNA from 1 species
ACGGAAGGCAGCAGUGGGGAAUAUUGCACAAUGGGGGAAACCCUGAUGCAGCGACGCCGCGUGAGUGAAGAAGUAUUUCGGUAUGUAAAGCUCUAUCAGCAGGAAAGAAAAUGACGGUACCUGACUAAGAAGCCCCGGCUAACUACGUGCCAGCAGCCGCGGUAAUACGUAGGGGGCAAGCGUUAUCCGGAUUUACUGGGUGUAAAGGGAGCGUAGGCGGCUUUGCAAGUCUGAAGUGAAAGCCCGGGGCUCAACCCCGGAACUGCUUUGGAAACUGUAGAGCUAGAGUGCAGGAGAGGUAAGUGGAAUUCCUAGUGUAGCGGUGAAAUGCGUAGAUAUUAGGAGGAACACCAGUGGCGAAGGCGGCUUACUGGACUGUAACUGACGUUGAGGCUCGAAGGCGUGGGGAGCAAACAGGAUUAGAUACCCUGGUA